GAUGAACGCUGGCGGCGUGCCUAAUACAUGCAAGUCGAGCGAACAGACGAGGAGCUUGCUCCUCUGACGUUAGCGGCGGACGGGUGAGUAACACGUGGAUAACCUACCUAUAAGACUGGGAUAACUUCGGGAAACCGGAGCUCAUACCGGAUAAUAUAUUGAACCGCAUGGUUCAAUAGUGAAAGACGGUUUUGCUGUCACUUAUAGAUGGAUCCGCGCCGCAUUAGCUAGUUGGUAAGGUAACGGCUUACCAAGGCAACGAUGCGUAGCCGACCUGAGAGGGUGGUCAGCCACACUGGAACUGGGACACGGUCCAGACUCCUACGGGAGGCAGCAGUAGGGAAUCUUCCGCAAAGGGCGAAAGCCUGACGGAGCAACGCCGCGUGAGUGAUGAAGGUCUUCGGAUCGUAAAACUCUGUUAUUAGGGAAGAACAAAUGUGUAAGUAACUAUGCACGUCUUGACGGUACCUAAUCAGAAAGCCACGGCUAACUACGUG
rnacentral:rRNA from 1 species